GCCCUAGUGGCACAAUAGUUAAGCACUUGGCUGCUAACCGAAAGAUUAGUGGUUCAAAUCCACCCGGCGGCU
rnacentral:tRNA from 1 species